rnacentral:snRNA from 1 species
UGGAUCCGUAACUUCGGG